UACAGGGGGGGCAAGCGUUGUUCGGAAUUACUGGGCGUAAAGGGUCUGUAGGUGGCUUGCUAAGUCAGACGUGAAAUCCCUCAGCUUAACUGGGGAACUGCGUCUGAUACUGGCAAGCUUGAGUGCAGGAGAGGAACGCGGAAUUCCAGGUGUAGCGGUGAAAUGCGUAGAUAUCUGGAGGAACACCGGUGGCGAAGGCGGCAUCCUGGACCGGCAUUGACGCUGAGGCGCGAAAGCCAGGGGAGCAAACGGG
rnacentral:rRNA from 1 species